rnacentral:rRNA from 1 species
GACGAACGCUGGCGGCGUGCUUAACACAUGCAAGUCGAACGGACAGGCCCUGCUUUUGUGGGGUGCUCGAUUGGCGAACGGGUGAGUAACACGUGAGUAACAUGCCCCUGACUUUGGGAUAACUUCAGGAAACUGGGGCUAAUACCGGAUAGAAGCUCCUGCUGCAUGGGGGGGGUUGGAAAGUUUCGGCGGUUGGGGAUGGACUCGCGGCUUAUCAGCUUGUUGGUGGGGUAGUGGCGUACCAAGGCUUUGACGGGUAGCCGGCCUGAGAGGGUGACCGGCCACCUUGGGCCUGCGGUACGGCCCAGACUCCUACGGGAGGCAGUAGUGGGGAAUAUUGCACAAUGGGCGGAAGCCUGAUGCAGCAACGCCGCGUGCGGGAUGACGGCCUUCGGGUUGUAAACCGCUUUCGCCUGUGACGAAGCGUGAGUGACGGUAAUGGGUAAAGAAGCACCGGCUAACUACGUG